UACGGGGGGAGCAAGCGUUGUUCGGAUUUACUGGGCGUAAAGGGCGCGUAGGCGGCCAGCACAAGUCAGUUGUGAAAUCUCCGAACUUAACUCGGAAAGGUCAACUGAUACUGUGCGGCUAGAGUGCGGAAGGGGCAACUGGAAUUCUUGGUGUAGCGGUGAAAUGCGUAGAUAUCAAGAGGAACACCUGCGGCGAAGGCGGGUUGCUGGGCCGACACUGACGCUGAGGCGCGAAAGCCAGGGGAGCGAACGGG
rnacentral:rRNA from 1 species